GGAGAGGUGGCUCAGUGGUUAAGAGCACUGGUUGUUCUUCCAGAGGUCCUGAGUUCAAUUCCCAGCAACCACA
rnacentral:tRNA from 1 species